rnacentral:rRNA from 1 species
GACGAACGCUGGCGGCGUGCUUAACACAUGCAAGUCGAACGGAAAGGCCCUGCUUGCAGGGUACUCGAGUGGCGAACGGGUGAGUAACACGUGGGUGAUCUGCCCUGCACUUCGGGAUAAGCCUGGGAAACUGGGUCUAAUACCGGAUAGGAGCCAUUUUUAGUGUGAUGGUUGGAAAGUUUUUUCGGUGUAGGAUGAGCUCGCGGCCUAUCAGCUUGUUGGUGGGGUAAUGGCCUACCAAGGCGGCGACGGGUAGCCGGCCUGAGAGGGUGGACGGCCACAUUGGGGCUGAGAUACGGCCCAGACUCCUACGGGAGGCAGCAGUGGGGAAUAUUGCACAAUGGGCGCAAGCCUGAUGCAGCGACGCCGCGUGGGGGAUGACGGCCUUCGGGUUGUAAACUCCUUUCGCUAGGGACGAAGCUUUUUGGGACGGUACCUAGAUAAGAAGCACCGGCUAACUACGUG